rnacentral:rRNA from 1 species
CAGCCGCCGCGGGAAUACAGAGGGUGCAAGCGUUAAUCGGAAUUACUGGGCGUAAAGCGUGCGUAGGCGGCUAAUUGAGUCGGAUGUGAAAUCCCCGAGCUUAACUUGGGAAUUGCAUUCGAUACUGGUUAGCUAGAGUGUGGGAGAGGAUGGUAGAAUUCCAGGUGUAGCGGUGAAAUGCGUAGAGAUCUGGAGGAAUACCGAUGGCGAAGGCAGCCAUCUGGCCUAACACUGACGCUGAGGUACGAAAGCAUGGGGAGCAAACAGGAUUAGAUACCCCCGUAGUCCCUGUCUCUUAUAC